AAGUCGUAACAAGGUUUCUGUAGGUGAACCUGCAGAAGGAUCAUUAGUGAAGAUUCAAGGGCCAGCCAUACAGACGUACAAUAAGUGUGUCUCUGGCGGCUCGCAUCCACUAUACAUCCAUAAACCCGUGUGCAAUGAAAAAACAACUUUUGACAACGGAUCUCUUGGCUCUC
rnacentral:misc_RNA from 1 species